GAUGAACGCUGGCGGCUUGCCUAAUACUUGCAAUUCCACCGAACGAUGAAGGACUUUCCCCUUUUGCCUUUAGCGGGGGACGGGUGAUUAACACUUGGAAAACCUACCUUUAAGACUGGGUAAAUUUGGGGAAACCGGAGCUAAUACCGGUAAAUAUUUUAACCGCCAUGUUUCAAUAGUGAAAGACGGUUUUGCUUUACCUUUUACAUGAUUCCCCGCCGCAUUAGCUAGUUGGUAAGUUAACGGCUUACCAAGGCAACGAUGCGUAGCCGACCUGAGAGGGUGAUCGGCCACACUGGAACUGAGACACGGUCCAGACUCCUACGGGAGGCAGCAGUAGGGAAUCUUCCGCAAUGGGCGAAAGCCUGACGGAGCAACGCCGCGUGAGUGAUGAAGGUCUUCGGAUCGUAAAACUCUGUUAUUAGGGAAGAACAAAUGUGUAAGUAACUAUGCACGUCUUGACGGUACCUAAUCAGAAAGCCACGGCUAACUACGUG
rnacentral:rRNA from 1 species